CCUACGGGAGACAGCAGUGGGGAAUAUUGCACAAUGGGGGGAACCCUGAUGCAGCGACGCCGCGUGGAUGAAGGAGUCUUUCUGUAUGUAAAGCCCUAUCAGCAGGGAAGAACACUGCCGUUACCUUACUAAGUCGCACCGGCUAAAUACGUGCCAGCAGCCUCGGCAAUACGGAUGGUCCAAGCGUUAUCCGGAUUUACUGGGUGUAACGGGAGCGCAGGCGGCGCGUUAAGCCUGGUGGGAAAGCCCGCGGCCCAACCGCGGGACUGCAUUGGGAACUGGCGCGCUGGAGUGCCGGAGGGGUAGGCGGAAUUCCUAGUGUAGCGGUGAAAUGCGUAGAUAUUAGGAGGAACACCAGUGGCGAAGGCGGCAUACUGGACGGUGACUGACGCUGAGGCUCGAAAGCGUGGGGAGCAAACAGGAUUAGAUACCCCAGUAGUC
rnacentral:rRNA from 1 species